rnacentral:rRNA from 1 species
AGCGAACGCUGGCGGCAGGCCUAACACAUGCAAGUCGAACGGACCCUUCGGGGUUAGUGGCGGACGGGUGAGUAACACGUGGGAACGUGCCUUUAGGUUCGGAAUAGCUCCUGGAAACGGGUGGUAAUGCCGUAUGUGCCCUUCGGGGGAAAGAUUUAUCGCCUCUAGAGCGGCCCGCGUCUGAUUAGCUAGUUGGUGAGGUAAUGGCUCACCAAGGCGACGAUCAGUAGCUGGUCUGAGAGGAUGACCAGCCACAUUGGGACUGAGACACGGCCCAAACUCCUACGGGAGGCAGCAGUGGGGAAUCUUGCGCAAUGGGCGAAAGCCUGACGCAGCCAUGCCGCGUGGAUGAUGAAGGUCUUAGGAUUGUAAAAUCCUUUCACCGGUGAAGAUAAUGACUGUAGCCGGAGAAGAAGCCCCGGCUAACUUCGUGCCAGAAGAAGCCCCGGCUA